UGCUGAAGCCCCGUGUGAAUGGGGCAUGAGGCUGCAGAUUGCUUGAGCUCAGGGCUUCUGGGCUGCAGUGGACUAUGUCGAUCAGGCGUCCACACUAAGUUAGGUAUCGAUAUGGUGAUCCUGGGGGAGCUCGGGACCACUAGGUCGUGUCAGGAGGGGUGAACUGGUUCAAGUCAGAGACGGAGCAGGUCAAAGCCCCCGAGCUGAUCAGUGGUGGGAUUGCAUCUGAGAAUAGACACUGCAGUGCAGCCUGAGUGAAGCAGGGAGAAACAAACUUUA
rfam:Danio rerio chromosome 11, GRCz11 reference primary assembly.